UGAGGAAUAUUGGACAAUGGGCGCAAGCCUGAUCCAGCCAUGCCGCGUGCAGGAUGACGGUCCUAUGGAUUGUAAACUGCUUUUGUACAGGAAGAAACAGUUCUACGUGUAGAACCUUGACGGUACUGUAAGAAUAAGGAUCGGCUAACUCCGUGCCAGCAGCCGCGGUAAUACGGAGGAUCCAAGCGUUAUCCGGAAUCAUUGGGUUUAAAGGGUCCGUAGGCGGUUAGAUAAGUCAGUGGUGAAAGCCCAUCGCUCAACGGUGGAACGGCCAUUGAUACUGUCUGACUUGAAUUAUUAGGAAGUAACUAGAAUAUGUAGUGUAGCGGUGAAAUGCUUAGAGAUUACAUGGAAUACCAAUUGCGAAGGCAGGUUACUACUAAUGGAUUGACGCUGAUGGACGAAAGCGUGGGUAGCGAACAGGAUUAGAUACCCCGGUAGUCCCUGAGCGGGC
rnacentral:rRNA from 1 species